GGGCCCGUAGCUCAGUUGGUCAGAGCUGGAGACUCAUAAUCUCUAGGUCGCAGGUUCGAGCCCUGCCGGGCCCACCA
rnacentral:tRNA from 1 species